UGGGGAAUUUUGGACAAUGGGGGCAACCCUGAUCCAGCCAUCCCGCGUGUGCGAUGAAGGCCUUCGGGUUGUAAAGCACUUUUGGCAGGGAAGAAACAGCCUGGGCUAAUAUCCCGGGCGACUGACGGUACCUGCAGAAUAAGCACCGGCUAACUACGUGCCAGCAGCCGCGGUAAUACGUAGGGUGCAAGCGUUAAUCGGACUUACUGGGCGUAAAGCGUGCGCAGGCGGUUCGGAAAGAAAGGUGUGAAAUCCCAGGGCUUAACCUUGGAACUGCACUUU
rnacentral:rRNA from 1 species